AAUGGCCGCAGUAUCUUGACUGUGCAAAGGUAGCAUAAUCAUUAGUUUCUUAAUUAGAAACUGGAAUGAAAGGUUGGACGAGAAAAUAACUGUCUCUUUAUAAAUUUUUUAGAAUUUUAUUUUUAAGUUAAAAAGCUUAAUUUUUUUUAAAAGACGAGAAGACCCUAUAGAGUUUUAUAAUUUUUUUAUUAAUAAUUUAUUUUGAAUUAUUUAAAUUUUAAUAUUAAUAUUAUUUAAUUGGGGUGAUUAAAAAAUUUAAAUAACUUUUUUUUAAUAAAAACAUAAAUUUAUGAAUUAUUGAUCCAUUAAUUAAUGAUUAUAAGAUUAAAUUACCUUAGGGAUAACAGCGUAAUUUCUUUUAAGAGUUCUAAUCGAUAAAGAAGUUUGCGACCUCGAUGUUGGAUUAAAAUUAAAGUUUGGUGUAGAAGCUAAAUUCUUAGGUCUGUUCGACCUUUAAAAUUUUACAUGAUCUGAGUUUAAACCGGUGUGAGCCAGGUUGGUUUCUAUCUUUAAAAUAUAUAAAUAUUUUAGUACGAAAGGACCAAGUAUUUUUAAUAAUUAUUUUAUAUGAAUUUUAAUAAUUUA
rnacentral:rRNA from 1 species